GAUGAACGCUAGCGACAGGCCUAACACAUGCAAGUCGAGGGGCAGCACAAAGUAGCAAUACUUGGUGGCGACCGGCGCACGGGUGAGUAACACGUAUGCAACCUACCUGUAAGCGGGGAAUAACCCGGAGAAAUUCGGACUAACACCGCAUAAUACUGAAUUACUGCAUGGUUUUCAGUUAAAUAUUUAUAGCUUACAGAUGGGCAUGCGUAUGAUUAGAUAGUUGGUAGGGUAACGGCCUACCAAGUCAACGAUCAUUAGGGGUUCUGAGAGGAAGGUCCCCCACACUGGUACUGAGACACGGACCAGACUCCUACGGGAGGCAGCAGUGAGGAAUAUUGGUCAAUGGGCGAGAGCCUGAACCAGCCAAGUCGCGUGAAGGAAGAAGGUUCUAUGGAUUGUAAACUUCUUUUGUAAGGGAAUAAAAAAGGGUACGUGUACUCUAUUGUAUGUACUUUACGAAUAAGGAUCGGCUAACUCCGUG
rnacentral:rRNA from 1 species